rnacentral:rRNA from 1 species
CCUACGGGUGGCAGCAGUGAGGAAUAUUGGUCAAUGGGCGCGAGCCUGAACCAGCCAAGUCGCGUGAGGGAAGACGGUCCUAUGGAUUGUAACCCUCUUUUGUCGGGGAGCAAAAGACGCCACGCGUGGCGUUCCGAGAGUACCCGAAGAAAAAGCAUCGGCUAACUCCGUGCCAGCAGCCGCGGUAAUACGGAGGAGGCGAGGGUUAUCCGGAUUUAUUGGGUUUAAAGGGUGCGCAGGCGGAAGCUCAAGUCAGCGGUAAAAUUGAGGGGCUCAACCUCUUCGAGCGGUUGGAACUGGAUGUCUUGAGUGAGCGAGAGGCAGGCGGAAGGCGUGGUGUAGCGGUGAAAUGCAUAGAUAUCACGCAGAACUCCGAUUGCGAAGGCAGCAUGCCGGCGCUCAACUGACGCUGAUGCACGAAAGUGUGGGUAUCGAACAGGAUUAGAUACCCGAGUAGUC